GGUAGAUUUUCUGCAACACCUGAGAAUUGAACUGUAACGUAACCAGGUGUAAGUAUAAUGAAAGGAAGGACAAAACAUCAGCUACAGCCCUAACUUCCUUAUGUACGCAUACACGUAAUUGGGUCUUGCAUCACUGUAAUGCAGCUUUUUCCCAGUUUAAUCAUGGUGAAACCGUCAGUCAGGCCCCAGUUUUGAUGACCAGACAUACGUAUUUCAGGCUACAUCCGUUUCCAGCCCCGUUUAAACAGUCCAUGGUAGUGGAAGAAAGGCGUUAACAUGAGUUUACUUAAAACCCCACUGGAGCCAACUUGGCUGCAGACUGGCAGUGCAAGAGCCUGCUGUAUGGCAGAGUGCUGAGCUCAUCCCUUAAUAUAAAUUGGUAUGUUUCGUUUUAAAACAACGCUCUUUAAGCAAUGCAUGAAAAGGUACCGACUGGCUUCAGGAAGCAAAGUACAGCUCAACUUAGCCCAACGAGAAGUCAGUGCGAUGGGGGUACGUUAUGGGUACGAAAAGGAUGUCCCAGUUUUAAAAGCCUUUACUCGGGGCAUUCUGCUUCAUUUACAGAUUAAGUAGGUAACAAAUAUAUUGCUGUUCUAUACAUCUGUCGUGUCUCUAGAAGCCCUUUAAAGUAUUCUUGCAGCAGGGUCCAAAAUCCGCUCUUGCCUCCAUAUAGAACAAGCACUAUAGAAAGGAUCGUUAAAAGAUACAAAUGCCCAAAUAAUAAACUGUAAAACUAGAAAACUGCACGUCCCGCCUUGCCAAGGGUAUGAUGCAUCAGAUACAAAGGUUUUCACUUUCCCUCAGGAAAAGUCAAUUCACGCUUAGUGUUCGCUGAAAACCAGUUUUUGCACCAACCAUUGUUUGAACGGUUUGAUUCUACAAAGCAAGUCAUCGGAAUCACAAGUCUGAAAUACUUCUUUCCAGUAUGUUUGAGCCUUACGGUCAGCAUGAUUAACGUUUCAAAGCUCUGAGUCUAACCUGCCCGCUCACUGCUACCCUUCUUCCAUUCCUCUUGGGCCACAAGCACAAAGCCUGCACGCGUCUACGACACCGCCAGCCUCCCGUUUGCUCCACCAGGUAAGAAAUGUCAGUUUCACACAGCUCCUCUCAGCACUAUGAGCUACAACGCAUUUAUCAGGCCUUACACAACCUUACUCUCUUUAAGAGACAGCUACAUUAUUUCAAUGUACACCACUACACAAAAAGGAUCAGGAGCUCAGUGCAGCCUGAACAUUCAAGUAAUUUAGCCACUAAACUGUUAAGGGCAACGAGGGUGGGAAGCUCAUUGAGAGAUGUGCUUGAUUCAGAAACCCCCUCCCAAGUAAGUGCAAAGAACUUUUAAGUACCAGAAAAGGCUACACAUUUUCAUCGUCCUUACAACAGCAACCCAACCUAGACGGUACAUACACACGAACUAAAGUUAAGGGAAGCGCGUAAUUAUUUCACGCGUUACCUUGCAAAAGAAAGUGUUGGUCCUAGUUGCUCUCAGAAAAGCCAAAAUAUGGAGAUAUAUAUAUAUAUCCACCCAUACAUAUGUAUAUAUGUUUGUUUUUUUAAAGGAAAAGCCUAAAUGGCUGAAGCUCCACAUGGGAGCUUUGCUCGUGGCAUGUUACCAUAACCAUCUGAAGUACCAUCCCUCCCAUGUAACCUAACUGGGGAGGCACUCCGCCAGCUGGUACAGCAUCCAGGUUGAGAGUGCAAGAUCCUCCACGUACGCUUCAGAUGUACUCGAAUGGACACGUUCAGUUACAACAGUAUAUGCUUACAUACAGUGCAUACACAGCUAUUCAAACCCCUCUGUGAUGGAGGCUUGUGUCUUCUACACUUCAGGCAGUUAUGUUUUUUUUCACAGCUCUUUUGAUAAUCCGCAGAGAUGCGUCCAGACAACACUGGAUUUCUCUAGGCAGCAUAAUCAUAUAUGUUAGGGACACACCGCAGCUAAGGGGGAAAGAACGAGACCAAUUUCUGUGCAACAGGAUACCCAACUGCAAAACCCCACUCCACCGCGUUGCUGUACGUCUUCUCACGCGUUUGAGUUUACCACAUUCACAGUCUACAGAUUCAGUGCCAGGAACAGGACUUGUCGAGACAGUCUUUUCGGAACGAUUUGCUGCGUGUGAUUCAACGCUGGGCUGGAUUCCUCCUUCUGUGUCAGUGGGACUUUCCAGCUCCUCGUGGGAAUUGAGCGUACAGGACUGCAACACCUGCACGGCUAGAUCCACAUCUGCUUCUCUGAGAGAAACUUGCUCCUUAAGGACCUCCACCUUCUCAUUCAGCUCGUUCCUUUCUGUCUGAAGGGCCCUGCAUAGCUUCUCCAAACGCUCCAGUUUUAUCUGAAAGCCCUUGUAUUCUUUA
rnacentral:lncRNA from 1 species